GGCGACCGCUUUUGGAGUUCGAUUAAGCCAUGCGAGUCGAGAGCUUUCGGAGCUCGGCAUACUGCUCAGUAACACGUGGAUAACCUGCCCUAUUGUCUGGAAUAACCUCGGGAAACUGAGAACAAAGCCGGAUAGCCCACAAUGCCUGGAACGGUUUGUGGGUGAAGAUAGGAUGGGUCUGCGGCGUAUCAGGUCGUAGGGGGUGUAAUGGACCUCCUAGCCAUCGACGCGUACGGGUGUUGGGAGACAUAGCCCGGAGAUGGAUUCUGAGACACGAAUCCAGACCCUACGGGGUGCAGCAGGCGCGAAAACUUCACACUGCAGGAAACUGUGAUGAGGGAACUCCAAGUGCUAUCACUAUGUGGUAGCUUUUCUUAACUAUUAAUCGGUUUUGGAAUAAGGGCUGGGAAAGACCGGUGCCAGCCGCCGCGGUAAUACCGGCAGCUCAAGUGGUCGUCGCUUUUAUUGGGCCUAAAACGUCCGUAGCCUGUUUGGUAAAUCUGUGGGUAAAUCAACCAGCUUAACUGGUUGAAUUCUGCAGAGACUGCCAGACUAGGGACCGGGAGAGGUGUGGGGUACUCUAGGGGUAGGGGUAAAAUCCUGUCAUCCUUAGAGGACCACCAGUUGCGAAGGCGCCACACUGGAACGGAUCCGACGGUCAGGGACGAAGCCUAGGGGCACGAACCGGAUUAGAUACCCGGGUAGUCCUAGGUGUAAACGCUGUGAACUUGGUGUCGGGGAUCCGUAAUGGGUUCUCGGUGCCGGAGUGAAGAUGUUAAGUUCACUGCCUGGGGAGUACGGUCGCAAGGCUGAAACUUAAAGGAAUUGGCGGGGGAGCACUGCAACGGGAGGAGCGUGCGGUUU
rnacentral:rRNA from 1 species